rnacentral:ncRNA from 1 species
UCGUCGUCGCAACAGUAAUUGGGUGUAGUAUGAGAGGAACUGUCCAUUCAGAUAAUUGGUAUCUGCACCUGUCCAAUUGGGCAUUGAUGUGAAGCUAUCAUUUGCUGGAUUAUGGCUGAAUGCCUCUAAGCCAGAAUCUGUGCUGGAAGUGACAAUGUUUGGUCCUGCACAUGUGAAUGGAGUUAAGAUAGAGCUUUGCUCGUGAACCAAAUCAGGUGGGCUAGGCUCACCGGGUGGAAAUGCCUGGUGGGCUCAUCUAUGAAUUGCAAUCAUGAUAUGCGCGGGGGUGAAUCCUUUGCAGAUGACUUGAAUGGGAACGGGGUACUGUAAGCGGUAGAGUAGCCUUGUUGCUAUGAUCCACUGAGGUUAAGCCCUUGUUCUAUAGAUUU